CGGAUGUAGCCNAGUGGAUUAAGGCAGU
rnacentral:tRNA from 1 species